rnacentral:misc_RNA from 1 species
GAAAUGCGAUAAGUAAUGUGAAUUGCAGAAUUCAGUGAAUCAUCGAAUCUUUGAACGCACCUUGCGCUCCUUGGUAUUCCUUGGAGCAUGCCUGUUUGAGUAUCAUGAAAUCUUCAAAGUAAAUCUUUUGUUAACUCAAUUGGUUUCUACUUUGGUAUUGGAGGUCUUUGCAGCUUCACACCUGCUCCUCUUUGUUCAUUAGCUGGAUCUCAGUGUUAUGCUUGGUUCCACUCGGCGUGAUAAGUUAUCUAUCGCUGAGGACACUGUAAAAGGUGGCCAAGGUAAAUGCAGAUGAACCGCUUCUAAUAGUCCAUUGACUUGGACAAUACUUUUAUGAUCUGAUCUCAAAUCAGGUAGGACUACCCGCUGAACUUAAUA